rnacentral:SRP_RNA from 1 species
CUCUUGGCGUCGGGCCAUCUGCGCCCCAAGGUGACGGAGCUGCCGCUGGAGAGGGCGGGGGAGGCGCUGGCGAUGCUGGACGACCGAAAGGCUUGCGGAAAGGUUGUCCUCAA